CUGCGGGGAGCUACCGGACGAUUUCUGAGGAUCCUGUGCCUGUCGGUGCUGCUGUGAGUCCUUUGGCGGUCAAGAUCAGCCCGAACCGGCUGAGCGAGGGCUGCGGCGGAUUUUCUCGUCAGUCCGAACAGGGAAGUCAGACCAGCGAGGUGGUGGUUGAGCUUUUCCAGUGAGAGAACAGGGAUGUAUUGAGCCCUGCCUACUGAGGAAUGAAGAACUAGCAGAGCAGUUGCCCGUGAGGCUGAAACAGCAGUAAACUGGAGCCACUGUGCCAGCUGUCAGGAGAGCAAGGAUAGCAGGUUAUCAUUCCAGGGGUUUCCUGCAAUGUGUUGAAGGUAAAAAGUUCUGACACGGGUGACGGAGGAGCCAAUGAGAGAGGAGCGCCUCUGGAGCUUGCUCUCCCUGUUGCGGAAGCGAAGCGUAGGGGUGGCCUCGAGCACGACUGAAUUCUGGAUGUUGUGUGGAGGAUGAAGAGUGGGACUUGCAGGAAGACAACUUAGUCCUCCCAGAGGACUUAUGCGGAGUGGUUGCUGCUGAGAUUGCUCCUUGAUGAUACCCGAGGAAAGCCUUUGAGGAAGGGUGACUUCCUGUUGAUUGCAGAGGAGCUGGUCAAAGGAAAGAUGCGUGAGAACUGGAAGAUAGCUGGUGUCGCUGCAGCCUUCGGAAGGGGUGAGGAUGGCCCGCGCAAAGGUAGGCCAGUUGGCCUCGACUCCAUCCCCCAGAAGAUGAUGCAGCAACUUCUAGAUAGCAUUAUCGAGCAGCAGGAAGAGAAGGAACUUGUAAGGAGUACUUCAGGUGGAUUUGCUGAGGGGAGAUCACGACAGACCAACAAGGUAGCCUUGUGUGUUGUUGGUACUGUUUUGGUUUUGAGAGAAGGCUGGAGGAUGUCGCCGGGGGAACAUGGCUACUGCUACAAAUAUCUGUAGUGCAGGAGUCUAGCCGAUGGAGAUGGGCUCAUCUGCAGAGCAAUGGGAGCAGCUUUGAAGGACUUGCACUGCAGAAGCUCUAUACAAAGGGAAGGAAGAAUGACUUCACCGUGUGAGCGACAGAAUAGGCUGCAGAGUCUGCUCCUCUGGGGCCGUUCCGGUCGCUUUCCUGGGCGAUGGGCGGCUUCAGCAAGGGAGCGGGACGGUUGUGAUGCCUGUGGCUCUGUAAUGGUGUUUAUUUUGCAGGGUGAGGUCUGCAACAGGUGCCGGUCAGAGGAUGUUGACGGAGGUCUUCCUACAGGUCUGGAGUGAGGCCUGAAAGAGUGGCAGAUCUUGGGGAUCUACUACAGGAGGAAGGGAGUUGGAGGAGCGAGAGGUGAAGCGGAGCACUCCAGAGUUGGGUUCUUCUUUCAGCGCCGGUGCCUCAAGAGCAAGGUUGCGAUACUGGCGUACGUGGAAGUGGCAGAGCUUACAGGUUUGCAUCAAGAAGAACAUCUAUGUGUAGCUCUUCUUCCUAUUUCCAUGUGCUUCCCCCAAAAACUGGUAACAUCUAAGGUUGCUUCCAAGUGCUGGGAAGCAGGCGAUGAUGCAUCUGUUUUCUUAGAAGAUUUCUCAUUAUUAUUAUUUUUGGAAACACUGCUUUUACCAAAGGCAAGAAUGCUCUGUUAGGAAUCUAUAUUACUAACAUGGACUACAAUGGAAUGGCUGAAUGCAGUUACCUUAAGUUUUUGUGGAGGCCUAUUUGUUUUCAAAAUAACAAAACUAAAGCUUCUGACUUUAUCCAGGGAAAAAAAAGAGGAUGUGCUGGUUAUUUGUGUACUUAAGACUCAUUCCCUACCUAUGACCCUAGCUUAGUUAUCUCAGGGGAUGAGAAAGGGGAGAAAAAUUACUCCUCUUGCAAUCAUCAAAUGAGCUUUCUAUGUUCUCUAAAAAAAAAAAAAAACCACCAAACUAACAAAACCAGGAAGACAUAAAUCCAUAUUGAACAUUUUAACAAGUUAUCUACUUCAAAACUAUAAUGUAUAAAACUUGGAUUACUCACUGAACUGAAUUGUGUGGUGUGCUUCCUGGGUGUGCCGCAUUGCAGUUGAAUUUCAGAAUAAUGUUCCUUCUUGAAUUUGGUAGAGCUUCCUGAAGUUGAAGGCGAGAGACCUGUUGGGAGAGCAGAGCAAUGACAACUCUUUCAAGAAACUUUAAUCUUUUUAAGUUAUCUUUUCAAGUAAAGUACACUGAUAAUUCUCUGCUUUCUAGCUAGAUAAUGCAAACUAGAGCUUAUCAAAUAAACCCUGUACCUUAGCUUUUGUGAAGUUAGUUUCCCUGCACUUUCACCCCCAACUGUAAUAUGAACAACUCAAAGCUGUCCUCCUUUGCAUUUGC